rnacentral:rRNA from 1 species
AUUGAACGCUGGCGGCAGGCCUAACACAUGCAAGUCGAACGAGUGGCGGACGGGUGAGUAAUGUCUGGGAAACUGCCCGAUGGAGGGGGAUAACUACUGGAAACGGUAGGUAAUACCGCAUACUAUCGGGUGUGCCCAGAUGGGAUUAGCUAGUAGGUGGGGUAACGGCUCACCUAGGCGACGAUCCCUAGCCGGUCUGAGAGGAUGACAAGCCACACUGGAACGGAGACACGGUCCAGACUCCUACGCGAGGAAGCAGUGGGGAAUAUUGCACAAUGGGCGCAAGCCUGAUGCAGCCAUGCCGCGUGUCUGAAGAAGGCCUUCGGGUUGUAGAGUACUUUCAGCGAGGAGGCGUUACUCGCAGAAGAAGCACCGGCUAACUCCGUGCCAGCAGCCGCGGUAAUAC